ACCUAAAUAGCUUAUUGUUAGAGCUUAACAUUGAAGAUGUUAGGGAAAUAUUUUUAUUUUUAGGUA
rnacentral:tRNA from 1 species